rnacentral:tRNA from 1 species
GGGCCCAUAGCUCAGCGGCAGAGCACGCGGCUCAUAACCGCUUGGUCGCAGGUUCGAAUCCUGCUGGGCCCA